GCAUUAAUGGGGUAGUGGUAACCUGGGUCGUUGCCAUACUUCACGUAUAUACGGCUGAUCGACCCGCCGGGGGUUCGAUUCCCCCUUAAUGCA